ACAUCUGAUCGAUUUAUUUGA
rnacentral:snRNA from 1 species